CAAUUAAUAUCAUAUUCAAAACUUUUUGCAGAUAUAGUAAAUCUUCAUUUUUUAAGCUUGCUAGAAAUGAUUUUAGAUUGUAGAUGUCCAGUACUAAAUAAGUUAUUACCAAUAUGGAAUUUAAUCAUAUUUUCUGAUAAUUUUCAAUUACCAAGACAUUUAUAUAUACGUUUACAACUUUCUCGUAAUACAUUGAAUUUAGAAAACAAUAAUGGCAAUCAAGAAGAAUUUAUUUUGCCUUUACAGCAAUGGCUACGAAGAUUACAAUUUAAAAUGGGUUUAAUCGAAUUACAAUCCUCCAGCAC